rnacentral:lncRNA from 1 species
CAAGGAACAGGGUGCUAGGACACUCUAUCACCUUGACAUGACUUUUGGGAUAUGUGAGAGUGGACAGAAAGGGCCAGUUUACACCCAUGCUUUCGAAGAGAUCUCUGCACACUGAAGAGGGCUAAGGCAGAAAGACAGGUAUUUCCCAUUACUGAAGUGCUUGCCAAUUAAGAACUAGACUCCUUUCCACUGCCAUCACCAAGCUGAAUAUCUUUAAAUAACCUGAACAAAGCAGGACAUGGCUCCCCUCCCUCAUCUCCAUCAAUCAUGGGAAGACUUACUUGAAGAAUCACAAGACGCUUCUAUCAUGUGCUAUACAGCCAAGCUGGAUGUGAACUUGCAUGAGAAAUUUCACAGCUUGGUUUCCAAAUAUUCAGAAGCUCUACGGGGAUCUGUUGCACCUGUUCCCACACACAAGAAAGAUGUGAGCAGGAACCAGAAGAUGUAAGCUGUUGGAUGUAGCCUUUCCAGGCUGUAGCUGGCAGGUCCAGCAUCUCUGCUGAAGCUUCCCAUGGCACCUUGGCCAAGACAAGCAGAAGCACAACCCAUAGCCAGUGGGACACUGCCAUGCAUAAAUACCCAAGUACCUUGCCAGAAGCUAAGUAGAAAAUAAAAUUUUGGUGCAGAUGAUACUUGAAAAAUUGAGAAAUAGAUAUAGAAUACAGGAAGGAGAACAGAACAAAGCUGGGGGAAGUAAGGAAUAUAAAAGGAAAGGAAGUUGGUAAAGGAGGGAAAAAGGAAGUAUGGAAGAUUUAAUCCAGUCAAUUAGCAUUCAGUUCAAGGGCUUUGAACAGGACAUGCUCAUAGCACCACAGAGAAUAGCAGUGCACCAUAAAGAAUAAGGAUUUUCUAGCAUGUGAUAUAGAUCCAUUGUUAAUAAAGCUGAUGAGGAAUUUGCAAGGAAAGAAUAUCACAGGCUGUUAUCUGACAGAACUACAAUGUGUCUACUGAGAAAUCUAACCCAG